rnacentral:rRNA from 1 species
GGGAGCUUGCUCCUGGACUCAGCGGCGGACGGGUGAGUAAUGCCUAGGAAUCUGCCUGGUAGUGGGGGAUAACGUCCGGAAACGGGCGCUAAUACCGCAUACGUCCUGAGGGAGAAAGUGGGGGAUCUUCGGACCUCACGCUAUCAGAUGAGCCUAGGUCGGAUUAGCUAGUUGGUGGGGUAAAGGCCUACCAAGGCGACGAUCCGUAACUGGUCUGAGAGGAUGAUCAGUCACACUGGAACUGAGACACGGUCCAGACUCCUACGGGAGGCAGCAGUGGGGAAUAUUGGACAAUGGGCGAAAGCCUGAUCCAGCCAUGCCGCGUGUGUGAAGAAGGUCUUCGGAUUGUAAAGCACUUUAAGUUGGGAGGAAGGGCAGUAAGUUAAUACCUUGCUGUUUUGACGAUACCAA